rnacentral:lncRNA from 1 species
AAAAAAGAGAGUGAGUGAAUAUAAGAGAGUUGCAGCUUUACUUUAGUCUAAGAUGAUUCUCAUUUUGUGACCUACAUUUUAAGUUUACAACAGUUUCUUUUUUUUUUUCUUGAAAUGAAAAAUUUUCAAGUGAUUGUAUUUUCUCUGAAUUUGUCCAUUAUUUUGUAUUAUAUACACAAACAUAUUAUCUUUGAGUUUAUCCAUUAUUUUGUAUUAUGUAUAUCAAAAUAAUAUUUUUAUGGGGGUUUAAAUUCUUCCUCUCACAUAUUGUAAGUACAAAAAUUCUCUCAUUAGGUUAAAGGCCUAAUGGUUAAGAGGUUGUCUAGUUGAAUCAAGUACAAAUUAAUAACAUUGCUAGAUCAACAGUUUGGCAUGACCCCUAAUACCAAUAUUAUGAUUUUUUGUUUUUUUUUUUUUUCGAAAUCUUAUUUCUCUCUCCAUGAUUUGUAUAACUUUAGCUUAAAAAUCUCAUUUAAAGCUGUCUCUACUAGGAUCUUAAAAUAAGUAGUUUAUUAAUUAAUCUUUAAUUAAUCCCCCAAAAUGUAGGUAGCUUAAUUACUGUCUCUUUCACCGAAGAAGGAGACUCUUACUCUUUUGUUUAUAUAAAUCACAAGCUGUGCUCCCAUUUCUUUUACAAAUAUAAUAUUUGUGGUCCAAUCUCUUAGUGUGAUUGUCAUUUUCUCACUCUCUCUCCAAAAAAAAAAAAAAAAAAAAAAACUAAACGAAAGAAUAAAAGUGUAAAAAAAAAUUAUAACUCUCGCUCUCUCUCUCUCUCUCUCUCUCACACACACACACACACACUCCAAUGGCAGAAGAGAAUAGCAAGAGCAGCAGCUGCUGCUGCGAAGCAGCGUCUUCUUCUUGUAACUGUCCAGUUUCGGCUUAAACGUUGUGUCGUUUCGUCGUUCUUUAAGAUAAUAGUAACAAUAAUAAUAAUAAUGCCAGUCGAACUCGAAGCUCGCAUUCCUCCCUCUCUUCUCUCUUCUUGAUUUGAUCUCUUCGGAUCAAGACGGUGCGUCGUUUCUUUGUUUUUUUCUUUUUUCAUCAGGUACAUUAAUUAUUAAUUUGCAUUCUCUCUCUCUUUUUUAUUUUUAAUAAAAUUUUAAGUUCCGAAUCUUAACAUUUUACUUAUGAUUAACUUUCCGAAGCUGCAUUUGUUGAUUUAUUUUUUAUUUUUUGGUUCUCGGUAUAUUUUUAAUUUUAUUUCAUAAUGUAGUAUUUAUUUAUGCUGCAUUUUUUUAUUUUUUAUUUAGGUGUUUGAUUUUGAAGCUCAAUAAUUUGUGACCUGAAGCUGCUUUUUAAGUUAGAUAUUUUCUCCUCUCUUUUUGUUAGUAUUUGUUUGCUUUUUUUUUUUUUUUCCUUGAUUUCCAUUAAUUAGAAAGUUUUAAUUAACUUGAAUGCAGGCUUAAUGCUUUAGUUGAUCAGAUGAAAUGUAAGAGGUAGAAUGACAAGUUCCACAGUAUCGUCGAAUGCAGUUUAAAAAAAGUAAUAAUAAUAAUAAUAAUAAAAGAUUUGCAGAGACUAUAAGUUUCUUAAAUACUGUAAAGUUAUUUUUGUUUUCUUUCUAUUUUUUGCAAUCAGAGAAUGAUAUGUGAAUUGAAUUCAAAGAUCACAUACAUUAUUUUGUUUUAGCUGUUUUUUCCGUGGCUUUUAAGGCUCUUUUUAGUAUUUUUUUUUUCUCAUUUGAGAAGUGAUAUUUGAUAUAGUUACUUUCUUUGUUUGUGAAGAGGAUUUUGUUUGCUUAUAAAGGAUAUGCACUUCUUGAGUGACUUUACAGAUAGUGUAACUUACCUUCCUUUUGUUGUUUACUUCUUGAAAUUUUAUUUGCUUCUGCAUUUAUGGUGUACAAUUUGGGAAAUGUAGAGGAUUUCUUUUUGCAUUUUUGUGAUAUCUCAUGGCACUGAAACUCUCUUGCAUAUGCGGUUUGGUAAAGGUUUUGGAACGGACCUCACACAUGGAGCAGUACGAGGUAUUAGAGCAAAUUGGGAAGGGAGCUUUCGGUUCAGCUCUUCUAGUGAGGCAUAAGCAUGAAAAGAAGAAGUGAGAAUGAAUCCCAGUUUGUUUAAUUACUUCUUAUUGUUUAAAUGGAAUAAUGUGAUUCAUGUUUUCGUGAUGGACUAAUCCCUUUGUUCUACUUUUUUUUGGUAUGUUAAGAUAUGUUUUGAAAAAGAUCCGUCUUGCUCGGCAGACUGAUAGGUCGCGCAGAUCUGCUCAUCAGGAGGUUGGUAUCCUUUCUCCUGGUUGACCUCAAUUAACUUUUGAUGUCUUAUGUUGGCAUCUCCAGUCUUUCAAUUGUAUUCUUCAAAUGUUCCAUUAGUAUUCCACCUCUUUUUUUCUUCUUGUAGAACCAAAAAAAGAAUGUAGGCUUGUAAGAAAAUAACUACAACCUGAAAUAGCUCAGACAUGUUUUGUAUGCCAAUUUUAUUCUCAUAUAAGGAAUCAGAAAUUCAGACCUCGCUUUGAUGAGUCGUGGUUACCAAAUGUAUUGAAAUUGAGCUCUAAUUAAAGUUAUUGCAUUUUCAGUUGGAUGUGCUAUAGGUUGCAUCUUUUAUUUGAACUUCCAAUCUUCAUACUGAUCCUUUUCCUGGUUCAUCUAGAUGGAGCUCAUUUCUAAAAUUAGAAAUCCAUUUAUUGUGGAGUACAAAGAUUCUUGGGUGGAAAGGGUAUGUUAUGCCUGUAUUCUUUUAUAGUUUGAUAUUCUCAUCUAUAUUCGGUCAAUUUUCCUCCAUGAUUGCAUUUCGCUGCUCAGUAUUUUUCAAAAUUUAAAAGCUCAAACAACGUGAAUUUAACCUCGCAUACAAGUGUUCUUUCUUCUCUGGAGGAUUGAUCAACCUAAGAUGUUGUUCAUAACCAAUUUUUUACAGAAUCACCAUUAUCCGAUCAUAAUUUUAUUACACCAUAAUCCAAAAAAGUUUACGCUAAAAGCCGUCAUCUUCAUUAGCAAUGGACGCAUUUGGAUUCCCCUGAGCUGCUGAGCAUUAUUUAACACUCUACCAUCUUUCUAGAUGGGUUGUCUCUAUGGUCUCUUUUAUAACCGUCUCUUUUUCCUAUGGUAAUAUUGCACCUGACUGAUAACGUAUGCACUAAUUUUGUUAGUUGCUCAUGCCUAUUUUCUCAGGGUUGCUACGUAUGCAUUAUUAUAGGAUUUUGUGAAGGAGGAGAUAUGUAAGUUUUCUUUCUUGAUGAUGUUGAGAUUAUGGAAUAGUAUUUGAAUCUACUAUGAUUCCAGCCUUGCGAAUAUUUAUGCUAUGCACUUCAUGUGAUACAGGGCAGAAGCCAUAAAGAAAGCAAACAGCAAACUUUUUUCUGAAGAGGUUUUUUUUCCUUUUAAUUUCCCUUUUUUUUUUCCUUUUUCCCCCUGCUCCCUUUUCUUCAGCACUCUUGUGGAAACUUGGAUUCUGUUAGUUGUAUGCCCAAUAUUUGCUUUGCUCAUUAAACUUCUAAAAUUUUGAAAAACCUUCGCAUCUGAUUAUUAUGUAUUGGACUUUCCACAGAAGCUUUGUAAAUGGCUUGUUCAGCUCUUGAUGGCACUGGACUACCUGCAUGCAAAUCAUAUUCUUCAUCGUGAUGUCAAGGUUAGUGGCAUGUAUUUAUAUACUUAAAAGAUCGUUACUAUCAGCCCACUACCUCUGAAGCUUUUCCUACUGAUGAUGUUUCUGAAUCUUUCAGUGUUCUAAUAUCUUCUUGACUAAAGAUCAAGAUAUUCGUCUUGGUGAGUUGUUUUGUGUUUGUCAGACUUUUUUUAAAGGGUAUAAUAAUUCUUCUAAACAUGUGACUGAUUCAAAUGCAGGUGAUUUUGGACUUGCCAAAAUUUUGACUUCGGAUGAUCUUGCUUCCUCUGUAAGUGAAAUAAGCUGGUUAUGUUUCUAAUUCCGAGCCUCUGCUUGCUUUUUUUGACUUCAUUAAUGAGUGCUGUUGUACUGUAAUUCAGGUUGUGGGGACUCCCAGCUAUAUGUGUCCCGAGCUUCUUGCUGAUAUACCUUAUGGUUCCAAGUCAGAUAUUUGGUCUUUAGGUAAGUCUGCAGUUAUAUCUGUCUGUGUAAUAUGACAGCCGAAGAUUUUUAAACUUACGUGUAUUAUGGAGUUCAGUUUCUGUGUAUUUAUUUAUUUGUCUUGAAUAUCUGUUAUACAGGAUGCUGUAUAUAUGAAAUGACUUCACUUAAGCCUGCAUUUAAGGCAUUUGUAAGUUUUUAGACCCUGCCUUAUUGCGUCAUAAACUUUUAGAGCUUGUUAAACUGCCACUUUCAUGUGUGUUUACAGUUGAGAUCACGACUGAAGUAUAUAGCAAUUCCGUAUGCAUAUGUGACUGUUACAAAAUUUUAUUCUUCCAAGUUCUGUGAAUGUAUACUUAACAGAAGAUAAAGUAAUCUGCUUUCCUGCAUUUUCUGCAAUUAUGUUCUGAAUUUCUUGUUUUUAUUAAUCAUUUUCUGUCUUUGUCAGGAUAUGCAAGCACUGAUCAACAAAAUAAAUAAAUCAAUAGUUGCUCCACUUCCAACAAAAUACUCUGGUGCCUUGUAAGUUCUUUUCCUUCUAUCCUUAUAGUUAUGGCUAUCUUCAAAUUACUUCUUAUUAAUAGAAAAGUUGGCUAAUGAUCCUUGUUUAAAAUGAAUCAUUAAGCAAUCUAAUUCCAUACACUAUAUCCGACAUAGGCUGUGGAUAAAUGGAUGUUGCAAAUAAUAUUUUUGGGUAGUUAGCCAGAUUUUGAAUACACUAUAUUUCUGUUAAAGAUUGAGUUUUAUGCAGUGAAUGUUGUCGGUCUAAUCAUAUUGCUCAAUUUUGUUCUCAGUCGGGGUCUUGUUAAAAGCAUGCUGCGGAAAAAUCCUGAACUGAGGCCAAGUGUAUGUACAUUCACACUCAUCCUCCUUCUAUGCCAUAUGAAAGCAUUUAUUCUAGUGGAGUAUGAUGGGACCAUAUCAAGAUGAUCUACAAGUUCUUUACAUUAAAUCUUUCUAAGUUGUUUCUGUAAAGUUUAAUACUAGCCCUAAUAUGUUUAUUCCAAUGGUCCACCUGCUACUUAACUGACCUUAUAGUGAAAUCCCUGGAUGAUUCCAGAGAUGGAAGAAAAAUGAUAUUCUGCUUAAUCAUUAGGAAAGGUGAUGCAAAUUUCUCUCUCAUUUGAAGUUGUAUUAUGGCAGGCUGCAGAACUGCUCAGACACGCACACCUUCAGCCUUAUGUUCUCAAGGUUCAUCUGAAGCUCAAUAGGCCUAGACGCAACUCUCUAUCUCACUGGCCUGAAUCUAACUACGCAAGGAGAACAAGAUUUUCAGAGCCAGACGAUGUUCCCAUUUCCUCUUAUAGAGAGAAGCAAUAUUCUUUCAGCAAUAAUAGGAAUUUGAAUCCGAGUAUAUCUGGUACUGAGCAAGAUUCUCUGUGUUCUACUAAGGGAAUACACAAUACUCCUGCUUAUUUGAAUCGAAGGUUAUCAGAAGUAUCUGUUGAAAGCAGCCAUGAAGGGACAGUCAUCUGUAAGCCAAUUGCUUCAAAAACUUCAUUUGUUGCCAAGACUCCCAGGCUUGCUUCAUCAAAAGCUUCUACAAAUCGGAGAGGGUCAUAUGCUGUUAAGAAACAUGAAUCUGUAAGAUCAUAUGACUUUCUCGCUCCUUCAUUAUUCAUGAAGUCGCGAAUCAUUCCAAGCUCCAAGUGUAAUUUGUUGUUUCAUGAAUUGGGAUCUUAUAUGUUAUUUUCUUUAUUCUUGCAGCAUCCUGUUUCACGCCUUCCAUCAAAAAAAUCUAUCCCUUCAAGUCGCAGAGCAUCGUUGCCGUUGCCGCCGGUUGCUGCAAUUCGAGAAUUGCCUUACAGGCCUAAUACUGGUAUUCUUCAUUGUGUAAAAUCACCAGAUGUUUCUGUUAACGAGCCUCGAAUUGAUAGAAUAGCUGAAUUCCCAUUGGCCUCAUAUGAGGAUACCUUCUUUCCCAUUCCUAAAACUUCACCAACCUCUGCACAAGGCUCCUCCAGCUCACCACUUUGUGUUGACCGUUCGAUCACCAAAGACAAAUGUACUGUUCAGAAAUGUGACAGAGCCUCUGCAAAUCACAAAUUCACAGAGGCCUGGCAGGGUAUUCAGCACAGCAUGUUUCAGGUGAAUGAGGAGGAAGGAAGCAACUCAUCAGAUCAAAAUGCAACGGCAGGGGCAUCCAGCCGCAACUCAUCAGACGCACGCCGCCAUCGGUUUGACACUUCAUCAUACCAGCAACGUGCCGAAGCUUUGGAAGGCUUGCUCGAAUUUAGUGCAAAAUUGCUGCAACAGGAAAGGUAUGAUGAGCUUGGGGUGCUACUAAAGCCAUUCGGACCCGGGAAAGUUUCACCCAGGGAGACAGCAAUCUGGUUAACCAAGAGCAUCAAGGAAAACACUGCCAAGCAAGAUGAUCAACACCCAUGAACUACCAGCACAUGUGUGUACCAUAUCUGCAGCUUCGACAAUCUUUAGAGCUGAGUAUUUUUUUCUAUUUUGGGUCAGUGAUUGAGGAACUAGGCACUUACGCAAACACUAAUUUGUAGGUUGUAGUGGAUUUUAAUUCCAUAUUUCCCAUGUCUGUGAUUUGUUGAUUUUGGUUUAACCUGGAUGGUGUUGUAUGAUAGGUUAUCGAUACAAAUUCUUAGCUUCUAAAGUUGAGGACCACAUUUGUAUCUUGGCAGAUAGUUAUUGCACAAACAAUGGACAAAUUGUAGUUAUGUAUUGUAAUCUUGUAAGUUCAAUCUGUAUGAACACUUCAUUCUGUGAAUUUCCAAAACUUCUUUUCCUUGGCCUUCUGCUGUAUUGAACUCGACAGUAAGUUUAUCAUUUUUGCUUCAAUGCCACACUAAGUUUAUCAUUUUUGUUUCAGUGCCCACACUUAGUCCACAUUUGCUUAGCUUUUGGACAGUAAGCUAAUCAAGUUAAUAUUUUUAUCUCAAGAAAAUACCGGCUAUCCUAUGCUAAUAAAUAAAGAGGGAGUGUUUGUUUUUCUACUCUCAAAGACAAAAAAACAGAAAGGAACGAAUUGAGCAGUUGGGAAAGCUCCAACAAGGUAGAGGAAUAAAUUGACAGAAAUCUUCAGAAAGUGGCAAGUGGCUAAAUUGGAAGAAGUUUUGCAGGCCUUAGCUAAUAUUUAUUUACACAAACUUACAAACCCACUUGACAAAAAAGUCAAAUAAUUGAAAGGUUAAUAAAAAGAAGAAAUAGCAUUAAUGCAUGAGUCAACAACAUCAAGAUAAUAUAUAUACACACACAAAAGGAAAUAGACACCCCCAUGCAGAAGUCUUGAGUUAGCGAGAAAUGGGAAAGGCAAGCAAAUGGAUAAUUAACUUCUUGCUAGGAAGAAAAGAGGAGAAAGAGAGGAAGAAAGAAAAUGCUUCUUUUGAAGAAAUCCAGGAAACCUCAUCUGGGUUUUGGCCAUCAACACCUAUUAUUAAGAGGAGGUGGAGCUUUGGUAGAUCAUCAAGCAAGCAGAAAACUCAUACGAGAACCAAAUCUUUUGACUUGAUCAAGACAAACCCAGCGGUAAAACAGGCAAUUUUGCACCUGCAAAAUCAGCAGAAUCACAUUGACAACAUGGCUUUGGCGGCAAAUACUGCAACUGCUAGAACAGUUAGGAAGCCAAAACCAGCUACCUAUAGAAUAAGCAGAGAAGUUGCUGAUGCUGCUGCCACCAAAAUUCAGGCUGUUUUUCGUUCUUUCCUGGUACUUUUUCUCAACUUUUACAGCCUCUAGUAUUGUUAUUUAAAUGGUGUUUUUGAAUUUAUUUUCCUAAAAACUGAGGAUGAGACUUUAGGAUUGGUGUUUGCAGAUUUUGGAACCUAUCUGACUAUAUGUUCCUAUCAUUUUUGCCUUUCAAAAAAAUAAAAUGAAAUUUGGAAAAUCGUACAAACCAGUAUUACUUGUCUAAGUGAAUUGAUUGAUAUCUUGAAUAGGCAAGGAAAGCAUUGGGUGCUUUAAGGGGACUAGUCAAAUUACAAGCCCUUGUAAGGGGUCACCAAGUGAGGAAAAAAAUAGCUGCUACUCUUCGGCAAAUGCACGCACUAAUGGCAAUUCAAGUUAGAGCUCGGUUUCAGAGAAUUCAGAUGGCUGAGGAAUCACAACUUGUGGGCAAAAGCCAAUCAACAAGAUACGGAAAAUUCACUCAGGAAAAUGAAUUCAGAAGAGCUCACAGGGUAAGUACCUUUUCGAAGUUCUUGGAAUGUUAUAACAAAUAAUAAUAAUGUGUUUUCUUUUGAUUUGCAGGAAGCAAUUGACACAAAUAUUUAUGAAACACAUGAAGUUUCAAAGAGCAAAUAUGGGUAUCUAAAUCAUUCACAAAUUGACAGAAUAGAACAUGGGGCCACAAGAUAUUUUUCAAGACAGCUUUCAAUCUCGAGGCAAGAACAUCAUCAAUACGAGGAGUUUUCAUUCUCCACAGCACAGAACACGCCUCGACAUCAUCGUGUAACGUGCAACACAAUUCCAGGAAGAGCCUCUUGCUCUAACCGGCAACCUAACUAUACACGUCCUGGGUCUCAUGACUUUUCUUUCCAACCAAAUUAUAUGGCCAAAACAGAAUCUUCCAGGGCCAAAGCCAGGUCACAGAGUGAACCGAAACAGCGGCCUGAACGGAACGUGAGAUCGGAAAGCAAGCGAAAGGCUUCUUUGGACGGAACCACCAGCUUCCUGGCAAAUGCUCAAUCACAAUGCUCUUCUCCAAACUCGAAACCCAUCACUAAUGAAAACCAGGACCCCGCGUUCAUCAGGCUCUACCAAAAGAGAAGUGUUGUCAAGGAUGAAGAUUCUGAUGCCAACAGUACAAUAACCAGUCGUUCCAGCUACUGCAACUCUCUUCUAGCAUACGAGGUAAGUUAUGAAGAUUGGCAGUUGGGUUCAUUUUUGCAUCUUAUCUGGAAUGUUUGGUCGUCUGAUAUCCAAAUUCAUCUGACUGCAGCCUUAUGUGAACAUGUACUAGCAAUUCAUCAUUUUGGCUCUUUGGCACCAAGGAUGCAAUCAAGAACACAUGACGAACAAAGACUUGAAGCUUCAGGAGAAAAAUAAGCACAGAUGGGAUCACUUAUUGCUCACUCAUGUAUCACAAGUGAACACGAAUGAACUUUGUUCAGUUUUACUACUGCACAUGUACAUAAAUAGAUAUAUUGGACACAUUUUAUUUUUAAUUGGUAGACGAUUUUUUAUCACUAGUUCAAGAGUGCGUGAACCGAUGGAUACCUAAUGUUAAAAAAGGACUAACAACUCAGACUCCGCUCGUUAAAUUAAAGUGAAAUGUGCUAUCUCCAAUACUGCCUCGUUAAACGUAAAGUAGAAUGUGCUAUCUUUAACAAGAAAAAUAAUAACUCAUAAUCCUUGAUAACUUGAGAUAUAAUGUUGCAACUCAAGUACAAAUAAAAAAUUGUCCAAGAGGGGAAAAAAUCUUCUUCUUCGACCUCCCCUCUCCGUUUAUGAGCCACUGGUUAAGAAGCCAUUGGUCUUUCUGGGGUACCAUGUAUACUGCCACAUACAAACAGGAAGCAACAAAUUCGGUAAUUAACACCUUCUUCAUAUACCCUGCAGGUUCAUAGAAUCAAUGAUAUAGAGAACAAGCAUUAAAACAAAAAACUCACUAAAGUUAACUUUGUGAAUACAACAAAGCAAAGCAUAGCAGGUUGGUUUAGUCAGAUAUCAUCUAUGGCUUCAGCAACUAAGUCGAUAAUAAAUAGCUUUUAUAUAUUGUUUGUGUUACUGAUAAAUUACUUAUGUGUUGAGGGCUGAACUUUUUUGUUCCUCAUUCCUGAUUCGCGAAUUACAACUGUGUCCAGAUUACACCCAAAAGCCUGUCCAGAAUGCAAUCUCUACAAGAGAGGAUUUGCUCACUAGUUCAAUGUCUUGUGGAAUGCAACCUGCAAAGGCAGUAAACUGAAAGUUAGGCUUCAUGAAUACAAGGAUACUACAUUACAUCAAGAAACCUUUGACAAGUUUGAGUUACAUAAUAUAUGACUAGCAACAGGUUAUGCUUUUGGCCAUUGACAGGCCUCCUAUUGUUUGGGUCAAAAAGUUCCAACCACCCUGGAGAAGGGAUUUCAAUUUUUCAGAGCCAGUUUGCAAUUCCCUGAAAAUCCUAAUCUUGUUUGGAUCAAUUCGGAGGCAGGUCAUACUGUUCACUUCCUCAUCAUGUUAUAUGAAGUUAUCAUGUAUACAGGUAUAUGCCCAAUGCUACUCAUCCAUACAGCAGCAGAUUUGAUAAGCAUGAAACUUAACAAUGGUCUAGUUGAGAAAAAUCAACUUUAAGAUUAAAAAGAUCAUAAAAGCGAAGAAAAGGAAGUGAAAUCACUUACAGAUGUCGAUGUUUUUAGCAGCUCUCUUAUGGCCAUAGUGGCAUAACAUGAAGAUGGAAGGGUAAGACCCAGCUUUAGAGCCAUCUGCUUUCCCUGAGAAUCAGCGCCACACACAGAUUCAACAUGCGGCUGUUUUACUUCUUUGGCACAAGCUGCUUCAUUAUUCUCUGUUGAAAGCUUUAUAUCCUUACUUAAGCUUUCUGAUUGUUUCAUGCAGUCAGAUGGAUCUUUUUUCUUAUUUCCACAGACUGCUUCUUCUUCUUUGACUAUGUUCGCAAGUUUAUCUUUGGCAAUUUUGUCCAAAUCUGUCUCUGCUAAUGGUUUAUUACCAUCAAUGUAAGUGAGCAACUCCCUGUCACAACAAAAAUGACAAACAUAUUUCAUUUAGGUUUAUAAUCCAAACAUUUAUGCCAGUAAUACCGCUGAGUGAAGAAAAAUGAUGAGAAAAUGAUAAUAAUAAUAAUCGAAGAAAAGACCAGCAUACCAUUCAAAGUCCAUAGGCUUCUGAAAUACCCGUCUAUAAUUUCCAGUCAUACUGGUUAUUGAAAAUUCCCUAACAAGAUACACACAAGUAAUAGUUCAAUCAGUUGGAGAGAAAAAAAUAAGCAUAUACAUGCGGAAAAAGUGCAAGAUACUGAGAUGGUUAGUUUUAAGUAAGAAAAUAAGGGACAUAUUUUGACAACAUACUUGACAUUAUGUAAACUCUCUGUCAAGUUAAUCCCAUCCUGCUCAAUAAAAAAUAAAUAAUUAAUAACCAAAAAAGAAAGACUUGGAAAAAUCAGUUGUAGUGCAUAAUUAGUGCCUACUAUUUUACAUAUCUUGGUCACUCCAAGUAACAAUAACUUACCUAAGAAAUCCCUUUGAUUUGCAUCUCUCUGAUUUCAAACAGUUGAUUUAACCCCAAUCAAUCAUAGAAACUAAUCUAGAUCAUGGCAGAACACAUAUUGCGAGAAUAUGCACCAGCCAGCCAACACGGCCUGCCCAAACCCUUUUCUGGCUAAAUAAAAAUUCAAAAUACAGAUAAUUAUUUACCAUUCGAUGGUACCUUCUAGACAACGUUUUUCCACUUCAUCGUGGAACCUUUAAAUGGUAUAUUUAUCUAUCACAGGGCCGACGUCAAUCUAAGUGCAUACAUACAUGCAUCCACUCUUAUUUGUGUCCAGAAAUCCAUUCCAGCAUUUAACUCUCCGAAUAUAUUAAAUUGAAGUUAUUCAUAAUUCCUUAAUUCUAGGAAGACCAUUUCAUAACAGAAGUCUCAACUGUUACCAAUUGUUUUGUUUCUAAACCUACUAUUUAUGCUGUUAUAUGCAUGUUAAUCUUUCAGAUAUUUAUGUUCUACUGAGCAGUUUAAAUAAACAGCUGAAAACAAACCCUAUAUAAGGGAGAAAUAUAAAAUUUAGCACAACUCUCAUCAUAAAGACCUCAGCAGUAUCAGUCAAUAUAAUAUACCUUCUCUGCCAAAUGAUGAUAAACUUCAGCAACAUCAUUCAUUGGAUAAAUAACCCGUGAACUGCAAAACAAGAAAAUAAUUGUGCUGUACAUGAAAGAAAUGUUCAUUCUAUGCUGAAACAUAUAAAAGAAAGUAUGAGGAUUCCUGUCUUCUCUUACCCAGGCAAAGGAAGAACGACAUCAUCGAUAGUGUAUUUUCCACUGUUGAUAUCUUCUGCAGUUACAGUCUGAAAGAUGAUAGAAAGCCAGCUUAAAUUCUCAACUUAAACUAAACAAGUUAGUUCUAACGUUUACAUUCAACUUAAGUGAACAAAAAAACACCAACAACAGGAUGCCUUUCACAUUUAGCUUCAGUGAAUGGAGUAUAAAAUAAUAACAGAUAACAAACUACAGGUUUUUUAUUUGUACUUAGACAACUUCCCACCAACUAAUUACAGGUUCUUUACUGCUACUCAAUAAAUCUUCCUAACAAGUGAAUCACCAACUAUGUCAUUCCCAUUUUAAGCAUAGGAGAAUUAAUCUCUAUCAAUGCUUCAGCAAAUAAUGUUAUAAUUUUAUUUUCCAAUUCUCAGAUAAACUGUGAUAAGGCAGAUGUACAUUGAUUUCCUUUUUCUUUUUCUUUUUUUAACAUUAUAUCUUACACCUGGACGAUGAAUACCCUUGGAGAAAUCAGACAGAAGGGUCUAGUCAAAAUGAACUAUGUCGCCCUAAAUUUUUCUUUCUUUUACUAGGUUUAAGUCAUCAGCAGUAGUAGAAUCAUAAAACAAGGAAUACUAUUUAAAACUAACCUUGACAAGGUUAUGUCUUCCGUCAGGAUGAUCAGUUUCUGGCACCUCAUCUAAAUGACUAGAAUCAUCUGCGUCAUUAGAACUCUCAUACUCAAAUUCAGGAUUGACGCAUCCCAACUCCUUUUCAGUAUCAUCUCCUUUACAAAAUACCAAGUCUCCCACGACAACAUGCUCAGUUCCUGCGACAAAGGAAUUGCAGAACAAGAUUCAGUGGUUACAUUCAAACACAGAUGGUACAGCUUUGACACUAAACAUUAAGACAAUGGAUAAAUUUCUGUAGAGAAGUGAAAUUCAGCAAAACAAAAUAAAGCAGCAUACCAUGUUUUUGCACUCUUGCACUAGCUGCAUGGUUCCACAAAAAGCUUUGGUAACUAUGGACAUACCUAAAUGUUACAGCAGCAAAACAUUGUAAAGUGCCGAAAUUUGAAUGCACAUUUCAUUUUUCUCUUGUUUUAGGGAAUGCGUGCUGGCCUGUAUAUCAGUGUGUGUGUUGAAAUCAUAUACUCAUAGGCGGAUAAUUUACUCACAUCAUUCUCAAAGUCCUAGGUAUAGCUUUUAGGGCCUGCAAGUAGUUCCCAGGACAUUUCUUCAAGCACUGCAACUGCACAUGAUUAAAAUGAAAAAUAAUAAUAAUAAUGUUAAGAAUGACAGAAAAAUGACUAGAUCUCAUUUCAGAAGUUGUCUUAAAAAACAUGAACAUCAUCACUGACUUGAGGACACAAACAGAAAUUGAAAGAUUAUCAAGAAAAGGGCAAAUAAAAAGGAAAAGGCUAUUUAGCUUAGAAAACAAGUUGGAGAAGAUUUCACAAAAAUUUAUGCAAGCACUAAACAUUAAAAGCCACAAAACAAAAGAAAGCUAUGGAAAGGCACUACAUUUGAAAACUUACUAUAGCCCUUUCAGCAACCAAAUGGCGAGGUAAUUUCCUUAGGGUCCCGUCAAUGUCAUCAGUUUCUUUAUAGUAUUCCCGUGCCUUACUUAUCUCAUUUCUUUGUAUUUCAAGAUCCAAGUCAAGAAAAACAACUUAUGAAUUCUGUGAUGAUAAUGUAUUAACAAUGGCAUGCAAUAAACCAGUUGAAUUAGUAGUUAAGCAUAUAAAAGAGUCUCCUUGCAGAACUCAAGAACAAUAAAAGGAUAUCUCCUUCCCUUGGAUCAAGAAUCAUCUUUACAGCACUUUUCCACUCUCCUCGUAGUAAUGUGGCUCCAACAAGGUGGGUUGGCACAGAACCACUUCCAAAACGCUGACAAAAUUAUAAUAGUUUAUAAGAAGAGUUAAAAAGUCGUAAGCAAUUCAAAUUAAAAAGCUCACACACAUAAAUAGGUUAGGUAACGGUUCCCCAGAAACACUAACUAUUAUUAUCUAACUUCAAUUCAUCUCAAAAUUAAUUUCAUAGCAAAAGGUCAUAGGUCAUGCGUAUCUGCAUAAUAAUAAGGCACACUCUCCUUCAAAUUGGUUUAAAAGGCACAAGAUCACUUUAGCCAAACAACUAUAAUGAACUAUUUCAACCAUCUAAUUAGAGUCUUCAGUGGCCUUGUCAUUUUUACUUCUUUCUUCACAGAAAAUGCCCGAAUGGGCUCACACACACCACAUGCUUAAGUUUUCUCAGAUGGAACUAUGAACAAUGAGGGCUGAUAAAGGAAAAUCGAUUUGAUACAAAUAUGAGAAUUACUUUAACACAUUACAGCCUCUCAGACAUAGUUUUCUAAAAUCACCCCCUGGUCCAAAAUGUAAUAAUUCAAAUCUUUCAUUCCAACACUGCCCUUGGUUCUGACCAACAAUAAGCUAAAAGAUCAACAAGCACUGUGCAACAAAUUUCUCUCUAAUGAAUAUAGAAAAAAAAAAAAAACAAAGUUAUAAUCAAAAUAAACAUGGACAGAGAAAGAAAGGGAGGGAGGGAGCGAGAGUUGAGGAAGGAAGUACCUGCAGACCAAAGUAGUUGAUGAACCCAUUCCUUCCUAAGGAGUUUGCAGAUGCUUUGAUGACAUCUUCAGAAUCUACAACAACUCCUCUGAUAUAGUGCAUACAGGAUCCAUAAGGCAAUGAAGGCACACAUGAUUGUUUUCGGGCAUAAGAGAAAAAGUGGAACCCAUAUCCAAUGAAGAAUUCUUACCGUAAUGUGAUUGUGAAACGAUUUCCAAGAAGCUGACCAAGAAGAAGUCCUUCCUUGACAUAACUGAACAAUAACAAAGUCAAACCAUAUACACCAAGAAUAUAUAUGUAUAUGCAGGAAAUCCAAGACAGGUCCGAUUAUUCAUUUAUUCUUACCAGAAGUCACCCAACCGGAUACCAAUCAACCUUUUGUUAAGAGCAGCUAACUUACUCGCACGUUGCUUGAAAACAGUGACCUGCAACCAGCAGAACUGCUUCAAUAAACAUCUAUCUCCAAAUUAAUUAUAUUUCUAUUAUCAUUUUCACUUUUUUGUGCAAACUUUUCAUCUUAAAGCAUGGAUAAAAGGAAAUGUUUAUAUGAUUGAUCAUGAUAUUUGAAAUCCUUAUGCACUCAAAAUUAUGAGAAUUGGAUUACGUACAACGAACAAUUCUCCUCAUGCUGGAGCAAAUAAUCUCUCAAAAAAGGUAAACAAAGAAAUUCUAGAUAAAAGCUGCAGGGAAAGGAAGAAGCCUAGAAUUACUAACCCUUUGUGUCGAGACAGAGCGCUUGUCCUUUGUACCUGCAAAACCAAAUGAUCUUGGCUGAAAAAUCGAAAAGUUAGUCAAACAGUGAUUAUUAAAUGAGUAUGAUCUAUGAGUUCUUAAUGUUCUUGAUGUUUAAUCAAUAUCAAUUAAUCAUAAAGAACACAAUCAAUCAGCAAACAGAAAAGGCAAUUGAAAGCAAAAGACUUCCACUUUGACUUCCUUUCAUAAUCAAACCACAGAGCAGGCCAUAAAUAAGCCGUUUAUGAUCCAAAGGAGAAGAAAAUACCAGGAUGCCAAGCAUCUUGCUGAUCAACCCCAAGGCCUCCUGUGUAUCCUUGUUCUCCUUGUACAGAUGAAACCUGAAUUAGUGUUUUGUAAGAUGUUAUCAGAGCGUUCUAAGGACCACUUGACACCAUGAAUAAAGGUGGUAGGAAAAUAGAAAAUUUUCACUGGGCAAAGGAAUUUACUUCUCUUAAAUAACACCUAUGCUGUCAAUACUAUCAACAAACAUAUAAAAGAAUGUUUCCAUGAUGGACAAGCUUUGACUGGGUACCUAUAUACCCAUUACCUGAGAAAUUUUCCAAGCUGCUCUGGCCAAUUUUCUGAACCUCUGCUAUCAAAAGGGUUAUCACCUCUCUCUUUCCGUUUCUUUGAAUUUCUACCCAUGCUGUUGUUAUUCCCUCCUGAAUUUAAUCUUACGCGUAUGCAUUUUGAUGAAGCAUCUGGUCCAUCAACGGUGUCAGUGACAAGGAAUUUGAAGUUGUCCUUAAAGAAAUUAUGUAUUGCCUAAAAGAUCCCAAAAAAAAAAAAUUUAAUCAACUACAUAAUUGGGAAAGAAAAUAAAUUCUGGAUUGGUUCAGUACUAUGCGUAUAUCUCUGAACACUAAGAUCAAAGAACCUUAUGAUGGAUAUAUCUCUCAGGACCCAAAACCAAAGCUUCAAAUGGCAGAGAACCAAAUUAUUAUCAAAAUGCUUCAGCCUAAUUACCAUUUCUGCAGUAUCUAAAUCAAGUAUAACUUGUGUUUCUUAUUACAAGGUUCAUUGUUUAUGACCUACAAAACUAUCAAUUCACAGCCAAACAAACCCUUGAAUGAGUUCAACUAUAUUCUCAAUCUGUGCCAAACCAAGCUCACAGCUAACAUAAUCAAUGCAAUUUUACAACUCCACAAAUAAAAUGAGAUCAAGCAUGUAAACUAACUGUUCGAUGGGAUUUAUCCGAAUUUGCAGAAAGAACUAUGGGCGGAAUACUGUCUUCGUUUUUCCCAGAAGUUACUUGAUUUAUUAGAGUCUCCAAACAUUGCGCAUCAGAAUCACCAGCCAGUGAUCUGAAUGAUUCUAUUUCAGAAGCAUAACUUCUAUUCAGUUGAUCGGAUGCCUUAGUUUCAUUAUGUUCCACCGCCGCCUCCUGAAUGGAUCAGAAAAGUAAAUCAUCUCAAUGUCUUUUUUUUUUUCGUUACAACAAAUCUUUAUUUUGUUUUGCCCUUUACCAUAAUGGAUCAACUGUAUAAAACAGAUAAACAAACACGCUUGCAUAUAUAACUUAAAAUGAAUCCAGAAAACAAUAUAGUGCAAAGUCGAUUACCUCUGGAGGGACAUCUAAACUGGUCAAAUGAACAACUUUUCGAUCAGUAUCAACUUCAUUGACAAUAAAAUCACAAUACCUACAUAAAAUUCAAAAAAUAAAAAUAAAAAUUACAAGACUAUGCCGAAACAACUAUAACAAUUAUUGGAUCAUAAUUCAUUAUAAAACUCUGUGCUUGCUCCAUUAUGAACACUCGUCAUUUUACACACAAGCACUUGAGAUCAUUACAUUGCAAUUUUCUUCAUUGGGUUAAUAACACUAACCUCCAAAAAAUUUUCGGCUCCACAUAUCAACCCACUAUCUGCUGUACCGUACAUCCGCCUUGGCCGUACAGCAGGAUUGGAGGGAAGCUCUUUUACCCGAUAGUGAAAAUUUUGAUUUUUAUUCUUCAUCAUUUGCAAUAAAACUAAGAUGCUCAGAUAAAGAAUUACUCAAAAUUUUUCAUCUUUGACCUUACAUUCGUGCGCUAGAAUUGCAUGCGUCUAAACGAAUAUGCGGAAAUAAGAAAUGAUGGGGACCUUUGCUUGAGGAUGCCACGAAAGCCAGGGAGGUUGGAGAUGAAACAAAGAAUGCCUGCGUCGGAUUCGUCUACAGUUUUCAUUGUUGUUGUUGUUAGGGUUUUGCAGAAUCUACUGUUGUAGCAGAAGAGCGGGUAGGGUUUUAGAGCUGAUUGCCAGAACAAAGAUGACACUGGGAUUCUCAUCAUUGGACCAUUUUCUGAUCCAAAACGCAUCGUUUUUUGUGCCCAUGAGUUUUUUCCUUUUUCUUUUUUAAAUGUGAUUCAUUCAAAGAAAAAGAAAAAAGUAGAAUUAAAAAAGGGUAAUUUUCAGAUUCAUCCCUAGUCCCUUCUCUUAAAUAAAAUGUAUAAAGAUAUUUUUACUUUAUACUCCUACCAUUAUUAUAAAGUUUAAUAUAUAUUUAAUAUGCGAGGGCAGGUAAGUAAUUGCAUGAUAAAUUGAUUAAAUAUUAAAAGCAUUUUGAAUUUUGCACUUUGAAGACUAGAACAUGUGUGAAGCACUUUAAUGACCAUAAUGCAUGCUGAUAAUAGAAGCUUGCUGAUGUACAACGAGUUUUACACCAAAACAAAAAUAAUCAUUUGGGUAAUUUUUAACUUCACAAAUCAAAAACGCAAAUUCAAAUCACCAUUACAAAUCUUAAGAAAUGUACUAAGGAAAUUCAUUGUUGUAACCAACAAGAUGUCAAGGAAACAACUAGAAUCGACCACGACGGGAACUGAUGUAAGAGAUUGGACAGAUUCGAUAGCCUUCAGCAAAUACCGGUGACGACCAAGAACCCACUCACUCGCAAUGGAGCCAUAUGCCAUGUAACUGAAACUUCCUUUGUUUGUGCAUUUUUUUUAUCUUUUUUUCAGUGUUGAGAUGAGUUAAGAGGGAAACUGAGAUUAUAUAAUACUGCUGAUGUGGGUCCGUAGAGCUAAUGCAUUGCUUUUUUUCUUCAAAUCAUCAAAAUGCAUGUCAAUAAUUGUAUUUUUAGAUGGCUAUUGUUUCGUUGGAUCAUGAUUUUGGCGGUUGAUUGCUAAUUAAACAAACUUUUGGCAUGACUGUGUAGAGAUGGAUUGCCUUAAUUUGUUCUCUAAAUUAUGAACGUUUAGCAAAUAAACGACUAUUUGGUUAGUUUACAUCUUGUUGCACCUAAUAUUCUAUUUUUAUGAGUAAUUGAUCAGUGUUGAGCUUGAUAAUAUUAGUCCGUUUUUUGAAUUUGGAGAUUGAGCUUCAUUUUUAUCUACUCAAUAAAGUACAUUUAAUGUUUACAUUGUUUUUUAAAUUAAAUUUACAAUGAUUUUGAGAUGUCAGUGUUGUUGUUAUGCUUCACUUUAGUUAACUGUUAUUUAUGAAUAAUGUUGGUUGUUGUUAGGUUGAUAAAAUAAUAACUAUAGAAGAUAUGUGCACCAUUUGAGCUGAGUUUUUAGUAUUUAUACCCAACUUAUUAGUAGUUGUGAGCAUUAAUUACACACCAAAUAUGUGUUUUAUGAUUUACUUUCACUUUCUCAUUUAUAUGGACAUAGAGGCAAUGGUUGAUGGGGAAGUAUUCAGAGUAGGAUCGAUAAUUCUAGAACAGUACAAUCUUAAAAAACUUUAGGAAGAUAUCAAGAAUAUAUGUUUUGAUAGCUCAAUUAGACAAGCUAAAGAUAAUCAAGUUUAAAGUCAUGUUGCCAUGAGAAAUAAGUGAAGUUAUUUUGCAAGGGGUCUCAAAUCUUCAGACUGUUUUCAAGAAGUUGAGGGAAAAGUCAUAUAACUGGGUAUUUUUUAUUGUUACAACUGAACUGAACACUACUACCAAUGGAGCUGACACUAUGGAGAUUAAUGAACACACCAUAUCACAUGAGGAGCAAUUUUCUAUACAUCUAGAUGAUCAAUUUAAGUGGUUGAAUUUUGAAGAAGUGAACAAGCAUAUAAUGCUAGAUGCUGAUGUCAUUGUACCUAAUGUUGGACAGUAUGAAAAUGAAGCUGAUAUAGGAUUACAUAAGGAUGAAUUUAACCCUGCAAAUGAUGUCGAUGGUGCAUGGGAUGUUGGGCUGGACGAUUAUGAGUUAGCAUAUGACAGUGGGGCUGAAUCAGAUAGUGACACUAGUGAUGGUGUCAUUAUAGCUUGUAACAAAUAUGAGCAAAACUCAGGGGGCAUUGUAUUCAGUAUAGAUGGAAAGAAAAUCAUCUUAAAGCUUGGUCAUCUUUAUAAAGACAUUGAUGAGUUCAGGGCAAUUGUCAAAGCAUUUGCAAUUUAAAAUGGGUUUAGGCUUCAGAGGAUCAAGAAUGAGAAAUCGAGGGUUACAUUAAGGUGUGCUUCUCCAGGUUGUUCAUGGAGGAUAUAUGACAGACCUAAUUAGAACAAAAGAUAUUUUCAAGUGAAGACUUACUGUUAUGAGCACACAUGUGAGAGAAAUAAUGACAACCAUGAUGCCAUGAGGUAAAAUGUCAGUGAAUAUGUGCAUCCUCUAUUGAAAAAGGAAGCUUUCAAGAACACUUAUAAGCAUAAGUUAUAUCCAGUUUCAAGAACACUUACAAGCAUAAAUUAUAUCCAAUUCCUAAUGAAAGCAAGUGGCUUUCCUUUCUACAUGACAAUAUGUCUAUUGUCGUAAAGGCACAUGGUAGACCACAGACUAAGAGAAAAAGAGAGUUGGUGAGGGAAAAACUUUCCAAAGAAGUUCUAGUCUUAAGUGCUCAAAUUGUGAUGAGUGGGGACACAAUGUUAUAACUUGUAAAGCUCUCAAGAGAUCCAAAUUAGUGAACAAAUUGGAUUUGUCAUAUAACCAGGUUACAUACUUAAAUUUUUCUGCCAUUUUUAACAAAUAAAUAAUAUGUGGUAUUUACCGUAUAUUGUAACACUACAAAUACAACUCAACUGCUUUUAUUGUAAGAUAUAAGACAAAGAUCAAGCACCAAGAAAGACAAUGCCAAAUUUCAGGAAGAAAGUAUGUUAAACACCUCCAUCUGCUCAGACUAUCCACCAUGAUGGUUUGGCUUUAAAAUUGAUUUCUCUAUAUUCAUAAACCUUUCAUUACAUAACUUUGUUCUUGUACAUUUAAGCUAAAUCUAAUAAAAAUAAAAUUGUUAAUGAUAUACAGGGUUGUCUGGUUAGCUGUAAUUAGAAUUUAUAUAUACAUGACACUAGCAACAAAUGACAUGACAUCAUCAAUUUUACUGAGCAGUGACAACACAAGCCUAGUUGAUCCCAUGAUACUAAUUUUUUGAGGGAUCAGAUGAUACGACAUCUUUACCUAUAAGCAUUAUAUUCAAGAUGACAUAUCAUUUUUUUGUUACUAAAAUAUGAGUUUUUUUUUUGUAUAUUUUGUAUAGUGUAACACGCUGUUAAACUCACUAACUUGAUAAGACUUACUAGUAUUUAUGGGCCUAUGUUGAUGUUAUGGGAUGAAUGUACAACUUGAUUCCAUUGUCUAAGCAAAUUGAUGUUGGAAUGGAAAUUAUUUUAUAAUGUUAUGUUUGAGUUUAAUUGUAUUUUGCUGGUUUCUUUUAUUUUGUAUUGGUAAGAUAUUUAUCGGCUAACCAUUUGUGGUAAAUGGUUCACCGAUUGCAAACUAAUUCCUUUUUGAAAUUUUUCGGCUAGCCAUUAUCAAUAAACGUUUUACCUAUUCCAAAGAAUUUGCUAUCUGAAAUGUAUCGGUUAGCCAUUUUCUAAUAAAUGAUUUACCGUUAUCUUUCAUAAUCAAAACUAUAAAUUUCCUUAAGAAAAACGGCUUGUCAACUUAGGAUUAACAGUUAUCCGUUUAUUUCCGUAAUCUUAUUUAUAUCUAAAACAACUUCAUACGGCUUAAAAAUAAUCAGUUUUAAAGAUUCCAACUUAUUUAUCUAAUUUGUUAUCAUCAAAAUCAAUAUUAUACAAAUAUGUAUGUUAACACUACUAAACCCAAAUUAUUGAUAUGAUGUAAUGUUGCUUACAAGUUAUUGAUAUGCUAUAAAUAAUUUGUCAACGAUUAGAAAUUGCCUAAGAUUAUUACAUGCAGUUUUAUGUACUCAAUCUAUUGAUAUGAUGCAUUUAGAUUAGGAUUACAAGUUACUUUCUCAAAAUUGAUUUUAAGCAGUUGCUAAUGUAUUAGAGGUUAUUAAUGGACAACGAAAUUUCAUUUUUUUCAUUUAUAUAAUUAACUAAUUUUAUUUUCUUAGGUUCAAAACCGUUAGGCACAAUAAAGGACUUGAUUGAAUUCAUAAUACAUUAGGUCUCAAGGGUUGACAUUAGAUACAUCAUAUAGUUGAACAUAAAAAACACCACAUUUAGGAUCAUAAGUAUCUUGGUGGUAGUAGAGUCUUUCACUGAUUGUAUCGAGUUCUGUACUAGGUCUUUUAACUCCUUCACCUCAAAUCUAAGUAUAUUUAACAACCCAUGAUCCACAAAUGUUGCCACACCUCCUUAAAAAAAAGCUUUAUUGUUGAAAUCGAUUUUUUCAUAUACCCACCACCUGAAAUAUCCACACCCUUCCUUCUUCGCACAUUGAUAAAAUGAAUUUGAUCUGCUUAAAGUGUUUAACCUAUGAGAGUCCAUGGAGUUUAGGUGUUAGUACAGUAGCUUAUGAGAUGAAUGUUUAAUGAUUCAAAAUAGAGAUUGAGAUGGAUGAUGAAUGAGAAUGCGGAGAUGAAAUUGCUGUGACUGAAUUAUGCUCCUUAACUUUUAUUUGUCAUGAAAUUCCUUUUCAAAUUGCAAAUUAGAAUAUUGCUAGAAUGAGUUGUGCUCCUCGACUUCUGUUUGCACUGAAAUUGAACACCAAGUUGCUUCUUCAAUAAGCUGUGAAUGAGCUUGAGGAAAUAAACUAUUCCUUGAAAAUGCGCUCAAAAUUACUUCUUCAAAUUGCUAUAAAUAAGCUGCAUUCUUUAGUUUUUUUUGCUAAAAAUGCACACAUAAAUUGAUUCUUAAUAUUGCCAAAGUGUGUUGUGUUCCAGUUUUUGUUUGUGUUGAUUGCAAACCAAAAUGCUUCUAAAUAUUGCCAUAACGUGAGAUGAAUUUAUAGCCAUCAGCUUUAUCAAUAUAGCCGUUUGAUUCAACAGUAAUAUUGGCAGAGAUGGAUUCUUCUUUUAUUUUUUUUCUUUUAGUGGUGCUGCAACAAAUGGAAAUCAAUAUUUCUCAUAGGUAGAAUUGACAUUUCAUUAUAAUUUGCCGCUAAAUUUGUCCUUGAUCUAGUGCCCAGUGCAUGUCUAAAAUAUUGUUUUACUGAUACAAGAAUAUUUUAGUCAUUUAGUCUAUCAAUUAACAGUCAACUAAAGUUAUACUAAUGGUAGAGGUGCAAAGUGGAGAUAUCCUUAUAUAUUCUAUGUAAGUGAAGGGACCCCAAAUCUUAGGGGAUUAAUCUGGAAUUACCCAAUUAAAAUUAGAUUUACAUAAUAGUAAAUUAAUAAUUGCUAAAAAUUGGUGUCAAAAUUGAUCCACCAUUUUCACUUUAAUUAUAUUUAGAAAGUAUGCCUAUAGUUUUAUUGCUUUUCAAUUUGUUAUAAUUCAAUCUAUUACCAUAGUGCAGUUGAGAGGAUGAUCGAUCAUUGCUAAAAAAAAUUUGCAACUAAAGAUGAGAUCUUUACUUUUAUAUAAAAUAGCGUGACUACUUUCAUUAAUAUUAAAAUAAUCAUCUAUAUUCAUAUUUAAAAAAAUUAUUUUAUGUUUAUACCUUCAAUAAAAUGGAGGAAAUAAAACCUCCAAUCCAUUAGUGAUGAAUGAUAAAACAAAUGGGUAAUUUUUAAAAACCUCCCCUGAGGUUUGGGCUUGUUGCAAGUAGAUGGCGAGAAUUGAUUUAUUUGUAAAAAACCCCCUACCGUCAGUUAAUUUUAACAUUGACCGUUAGUUGACCGUGCAAAGACAAUAUUACCCUUAACAAUAGUUUGUAAACGAAAAUAACUAAAAAAAAAUUAAAAUUAUUGGUUAUUUUACCCUCUUUAAAUUAUUGAUAUUUUCUUAAAGUUCCUAUAAAAAAGAUAAAAUUAAAAACUUGAAAAAUCCUCUUUAAAUUAUUGAUAUUUCCUUAAAGUUCCUACAAGAAAGAUAAAAUUAAAAACUUGAAAAUGAAAUAGUCAUAAUCUUUACCUAUGAUAUUGUAAAUCUUUGGAAUUGACAAGGAUAAAAUUGUCAAAAAAUAGGGUUUGUGCUUUUCGCGCCAACAAUUUUGGUUUUUUUUAGUUAUUUUCGUUUACAAACUAUUGUUAAGGGUAAUAUUAUAUUUGCACGGUCAACUAACGGUCAACGUUAAAACUAACUGACGGUAGGGGAUUUUUUACAAAUAAACCAAUUCUCGCCAUCUACUUGCAACAAGCCCAAACCUCAGGGAAAGUUUUUAAAAAUUACCCUUAAACAAAUUGUAUCAUGCUACCUCUCCUUCAAAAUAGUGGUAAAUUUGUAGACAUAUUUUUUCCGUUUUUUAAGAAAGCACUUUUCAAAGAAGUGAGUGGCCGUAAUAACCAAACACAGCCUAGCUCUUCAACAAUAAUUGGGGCCAAGCGUGCUUCAAAGUCAAUCAAUGCCCGGCACUCAAAACUCCACUAAACUAACAAACAACAGAUCCAAAACACCGGCUGGCUGAAUAGAGAACCCAAACUAAACGACACCCACAACAAAGCCCGACACUUUCUCAAUUCACUCACAUUCACGUACAUAGAUAUACACGCUGAGACUCGAUACCCAGGAGAGAAAUAGAAAAGAGCGAUGGUGACGAAGACAGAAGAAACCCAAUUGAACCGCUUGGAGAAUCAGGUUGAUAAUGGCGGAGGAGGAGCUUGGGAGUAUCUCUGUCUCGUUAAGAAGCUCAAAGUCAGGCGCCCCGACAAGGUCUUGAGGCACGGCUUAUCGAUCUUGAAUGAUCCCAAGAAACGGUCCGCUCUUGGCCCAGAUGGUGAGUUUGUUUCAAAAUUCGGAUUUGUUAGCUUGAAUAUUGAGUGAAUAAUUUAGCGGAAUUGAAAGUUUGUUGAUUUGUUCAAGUGGGUCGGAUGUAGUUUUAAUUUAUGUCUUGGUGGGGUUUUAAAGUUUGAAGCUUGAUUCAGAUUUUGGGUGAAGGUGAUGUAUGUGAUUUGGUCAAUUGGGUUUGAGACUUGAUUUGUACUGGCUACGGAAAGGAAGUAUAUCGGACUGAAAAUGUUUGGCUGAGUUUUGAAUUUGAUGAUUUGAUGCAUUAGUUGCAUAUGACAUGGAGGCUUUGAUACUUGAUUUGAAUUCAUAUUGAUGAUUGUUGUGGUUUUUGGUUGUAUUUUGGGUCAUUGCGAGAGUUUCGAUCUUCAUUUUAAUUGGAUUUGGAUGAGAGUCAAACUGCUCAAUAGUAAAUAGCUUUAUUUAUUUAUUUUUUGCAUCAUAUUAAUUAAGUUCUGGUUGACUAAGUUUUGAAUUUGCUGAUUUGAGAUUCUAUUUAUUUAGCUUAUAAGUUUCUGCUCUAGUUUUGUUUCAUUUUCCUCAUCUGUUUACCUGCAUGUUGCUUUUGAAUAUUGCAGUUUGUCAUCUACUUGAAAGUACUUCUAACUAAAUAUUAUUUCAUGUAGUGUGGACUCUAUAUGAGCAGGUAUCAAUUGCAGCUAUGGACUGUCAAUGUCUUGACGUUGCAAAGGUGCAAUUCUCUUCAUAGUUUUGGCUGUUUACUUGAUUCUUUACCAUCUUCAUUUUCUUAUUCAUGGGGUUCUCUUGAACUCAUGAAGUUUAGCUUGAAAAUUUUGCAGGAUUGCAUAAAAGUUUUGCAGAAGCAAUUUCCUGAGAGCAAAAGAGUUGGUGAGUUGAAUAACCUUUCACCAUAUAUUUAAGAGUGCAUCUACCAGUCCCUGUAUAUUACUAUUAAAGUGAUGAGUGAUGCGUUUUCAUGGCCCUUGUGGCUAGAUGUCCUGUUUAUUGUUAGUUUGUAUCUCUGGAAGGAGGGCUAUAGCAACAUUUUGUAUGAUUUUGCACUUCAAAAGUCAUAUAGCAAAAAGACGUGUGCUACAUCGUUUACUUAUUAUUGCUGUGGUCCUCCUGUAAACUGCAUAAAUUUUAGAGCACAAUUCUCAGAUUCCUAAUGGAUAUUGGAUAUGUUGUUGAUCUGCUUGUAAAUGCUUUAAGUUAAGGUCAAUUGGGAAAGCUUACGUAAUCAAUCUUACUUAUGUAUGCCUGUUAUUGUCUUAAAUUCUAAUAUUUAAUAAAUGCAUCACAGGAAGGUUAGAGGGGAUAUUGCUUGAAGCUAAGGGAUUGUGGGCAGAGGCAGAAAAAGCCUACUCAAGCCUUUUAGAGGAUAAUCCACUUGAUCCGGUAAAUUUUGUGACCCAUUCUUUAUAAAUGAGAUGCCUGAUAAGUAUAAGAACUGUUUUAUUCCAAACAAGCUGAUUUAUCUUAAACAGGUAUUACAUAAAAGGAGGGUGGCUAUUGCAAAGGCCCAAGGAAAUUUUCCAACGGCCAUAGAAUGGCUUAAUAAGUAUCUUGAAACGUAAGACAGCUUUUUUAAACCUUUUUUCCCUCCUAUUUCUUAUAGUAUACAACAAAACAGAUUUGCUAAUUGUUCUAUUUCCUCCAUUUGCCAGAUUUAUGGCUGAUCAUGAUGCCUGGAGAGAACUUGCUGAAAUAUAUGUGUCCUUACAAAUGUGAGUGUUCCUCACCUGCCUCUCUCUUUCCCGUCCUACUCCUGAUGUAGCUUAGUUUUCUUUGUGUUUUUGUUUGUAAAUUAGGUACAAACAAGCUGCUUUCUGCUAUGAGGAGCUCAUUUUAUCCCAACCCACUGUUCCACUUUAUCACCUGGCCUAUGCUGAUGUGAGUGCCUCUUCAAUUGGUGUCAUUACUAUUGCACGUUUAAUGAGGAAUUUCCAUCUUUAUUCUGGUUUUUGUGGUAGAGAGAUUAGCGAAGUGCACAAAGAUCCUGUAUCUGAAUAGUUGAGAAAGUCAGUUAACAUUUACUGCUGCUGUAGGGACUGGAGACUAACUGUUAACUCUUUAUGAGUUGAGUUGCUUCAUGUUUGUAUAUUGAUUAACUUUUUAACUCGAGAAUCGUUGCUUGCUUGAUGAGAUUGGUUAGACAACCACAACCUGAGUCAGUUGUAAAUAUUUCCUUCUUUCUUCUGCUGGUGUGUUGUAUGUAUACAUACAUAUGGAGAGAUAAUUUGUACCUGUGCUGAAUUUUGGGACUUGAAUGUUAAUAUCCUUGUGCAACGAAAUAAUAAUAGAGGUGUAACUCUUAAUAUGUCUUCUUUUGAUUUUUCCGAUGAACAGGUAUUAUACACGCUUGGUGGAGUAGAAAACAUUCUGCUGGCAAAGAAAUAUUAUGCUUCCGCCAUAGACUUGACUGGGGGCAAGAAUACCAAAGCACUCUUUGGUAUUUGCUUGGUGAGUAUUCACUUGCAUUUGUCAUUGGACGCAUUAUCAAGUAGAUAAGAAUACAUGAAUUUAUACCUGUGGGUGUAUUAGCUGAUAUAAACAUUUGUUUGUCAUUCGCUUCUCUUGCUGGCAUUAAUAUUCUUCUUUCAGGUUUUCUUCUGCUGCUAAAUAUCGGCCAUUUGAUUAUUGAAUAUUAGUCAUGUAUUCAGUUUUACAUCUAUAAAUACUCUAGAGUUACCAUUUUCCCUUUGUCAUUGUAUCAUAGUUUCCAACUUGCUUAACCAAAGUUUUAAUUCUGGAUUGCAGUGUUCGUCUGCCAUAGCACAACUUACGAAAGGGCGGAACAAGGAAGAUAAGGAGAGCCCAGAGCUACAAUCUUUGGCAGCAGCAGCCUUGGAGAAAGACUACAAGCAGAGAGCUCCUGCCAAGCUCCUUCUGCUUACUUCUGCCCUGAAAAGUUUGAAAACUUCAUAAUUCAUAAUAUCGGCAGAUGAAAAUUCUAAUUAUCACUUUACUCCCCAAAAUUGGAGGGGGCCAUGAGCAACUUAGGGCAGAAUUCAAUUGAAGUUGGCUAAUUCUUUUAGAUUUUUAUUGACUAAAACAAAUUCAAGGUUUUUUUUUUUUUAUAUCGGCAGAUGAAAAUUCUAAUUAUCACUUUACUCCCUUUUUAUUGACUAAAACAAAUUCAAGGUAGGGCAGAAUUCAAUUGAAGUUGGCUAAUUCUUUUAGAUUUUUAUUGACUAAAACAAAUUCAAGGUUUUUUUUUUUUUUCCCAUGUGCUUGUCCUUUCUCGGUAUAUUUAAGGUCCUUAAUACAUGAGGACAUAAACGUAAUGUAUUUUUUAGAUGCCCCAUUAGUCAACUAGGAAUGUUGUGAGAUAAUUUAUCCCCUCUGCAUAAUGUCAGAUAAUAUUCUUUUUCUUCUUCCUACCUCUAAUUUCUGGAUUUAAUCUUCUUUUCCUUGAUGACAAAGUUAUGCAUUGAACAAGAGUGAUCAAGUGCUUGCAGCGUGCAAUCAGCUCCCAUACAUUGAAAAUGUCUGCUUUCGUACGAAAAUUUGGAUGCUAAAAGUGGCAAUUUUGAAGAUGCAGGCAAGGAUUUUGCAAAUCUUUUGUUAUCUCACAAUCUGCAACUAGUUUACUGGCUUAAAGCCUUAAAACACAUACAACCUGAAAACAGACCAGCAUUAUUAAGUAAAUUAGGCGUACUUUAAUGGAGACUCACUGUAGAUUCAAUGCUCUCUUGGAGGAGUUACAGAUGGGAACGAUAGAGCAGAUAUCAGAGUCGACCUCCUACUUCUAUACCUUGGCAUAGAUGAUCUGAUCACAUGAUGAGGAGGUGAAACCCUCUUGGAGUUUGGAGAGACUGCAAUCAAACUACUAGUUUUUGAGAAACUGUUUUUAAGAAUCUUGGGAGGUUUCUCUUCUACGGUUGGCCGAAGUGGCUCCUCAAUCUUGGGCUGAUCGAAAAACUUUGAUGUUUUUGGGCUGGUGCAAACCUUAAGAGGGUCAACAGCAAGAGGAGAAGAUCCAUAGCACUCAUGCCUAAAUAUAAAUAACAGUUCAGUUGAAGGCCUGUGAAAGAUAAUGACCUUAAACAGUUUAAAACAAAUCUUGAUUGCUGAAAAGCAAACCUGGAAAUAUCAGAAGAAGGUAGCAGAUGAUGUGGAUGCUCCUCUUCACCCUCCUUCAGUGUUAUCAUGUAUGUUUGCAUCUGAUUCACUUUUUGCACAGGUUUCUGAUUCUUCCCCGUCAUACUCACCUUCUUCAGCUCCUAAUGGGGAAAAGACAGCAAAAUUUGGAACUGCAACAGCAAAUGUAAUAUCAUGCACCAGCAAACUAGAGUUUAUAAGCAAAAAUGUAGAACUCGAGUCCAGAGAAAAUGUUGUCAAAAAGACUAAAAGUUCUACCAAAGACAACUAAAUCUAAAACAAGGGACUAUAAGAGCUCCUUAUAAACACUUACCAUCCUUUCUUCCGAAAGAAUUUUUACAUCCUUCACAUCUGCAGCUUAUAGAGCAUCCAACACCACCCUUUAUACACAAACAAGAUUUAGUAUCAUAUACACAAAAUAUAGAUAUUAUACUGAGGUAAAACACAACCUGAAAGCAUUCGCAGUAUUUUUUUAAGCAGCUUGAUCUUUUGCAGUUGCAUCCUUUCUUAUGUCUUGCUGAAGCAGGAGUCUUGUUAGCUUCAUCCUGCAUGAAUGAAUGCAAAGCAUGCAUGGUAAGGAAACUUAGAAAUACAUGAUAUAAGAACCUCUUUUGGAAAAAGGAUUUGCAACAAAGCCACCACAUCCCAAACCUCAUAUUUUGGCAAACAUGACAUUGCAAUGUGCAUCUUUCCUCGAGAACGAGGCAAUGCAGAGGAUGGAUUGUGAUGACUUUGAUGCUAGACCCAUUGCUAUAAUUUCAGUGAUAACAUCCCACCCCCAGUUCCACAGUGGAGUCGGUACUUCUAAUCACUUUGGGAGCAAAAGCAAGGGGAUUUCGCAAUUCAAUCUGUCUGCGUGUCUCCAAAACUUUAUCUUCAUGAAUAGGCUUGUUAAAGCAAUCUAGACACGAACAAGGCUCAAUACAGUAUAGGCCAGCAGCAAAGCAUUCACAAUAGCUGUAUAGACACAUGUUAGCUAAUACACUGUAUAGAUAAUAUAAAUAACCACAAGUGCCCAGUAAAAAUGAUUAAAAUGGCAUGAGAGAGUCAACAAGCAACAAUUCGCAUCAUAAUUAGGUAAUAAAAAUGCUUAUAUUGCAAAACAUAAACUAAUAGACAGAGAAAAUGAAACACACUUACAGCUUCAAGCAUUUUGACCUCUUACAAUUGCAGCGCUUGCAGGCCAUACUUUCUACAUUAUGUUCUGGCUUGUACCUGCAAAUUAGCGAAACUUUUAUUUCAAAUUGUAGUCCAAAGAAUUUCUGGUGAAAUGUCCAACAGUAUUAAGUGCUAUACAUGCCUCUUUCUUUUGGGGCUACUAUGGUUGAAUUCUUCAGAACCAACACUUACGGAUGGUUGCAUAGCAUUUUCUACCACAUAAACUUCAGUGCCACAUGGAACAGGAUCCCUCUCCUCGCUUUUGUUAAGCAGAUUUGGACAAGAUGUCAAAGAAAGACAAGGGGACUCACAGAUUCGCAUACUUAUUACCUUGCUUCCAGAGGCUGUAGUCUUGCACUUGACAAGUUUACCAUCCUUUGAUGCAGCUGCAAGAGCAUUCAAGUGCAAACCAGCACCAGCUACCAUAGAUGAUGAACUACUUUUGCUCUUGCUUGGAACAAAAUGCUUUUUUAUACUGGCAUCUUUACAAUCAGCUUGUGAUAGGUUCGAAGACGUACAAUUAGACUCACAUGCAACUUUCUUUUUACGAGCUCCAACCAUCUCAAAAUCCAGGCAGCGCCUUAGUAUAUUAUGCUGAUGCACAGAACCAGGCAAAACAUGAAAAAAAGUAUAUGCGCAUCUAUAUUGAUUAGUUAACUGACUGCAAAAUAGUGUCUAUGACAAAUGAAACACUGUGUUACCUUACAGCUAGACUGGCCGCACUUUUCUUCUUCAUUAUCCAUUUUUUCUCUUGAAUCACUUACAAUUAGCUUAUCUAGUAGAGUGCUAGAAAGAAUGUCAGGAGUCCGAUCUGUAUCCUUUAGGUUCUCAAUUUCUUCUGGUUGAGUUAAUGGUUCCGUCAUUUCACUUUGUUUGCAAGAACAACUCCGACUGCCAGUUACCAUGUUUACCAAAUCCUUGGUGUUAUCUUGUGGGAGCUGUAGGACAGUUGAGAUAAAAGAUAUUGCUCCAGUAUCUACUGUUUUCUCAUCCUGAUCUUCAGAGUUAUUCUCAACAACGGACAAAUUUGAGUUUAGAACAGCAUCAGAAACCAAUGACACCCAGUCGCAUCCAGCUACUUCUUCACUUUGCUCAAUUCGACAGAUUUUACGCAAAUUUGUUUUGUUCUCAAAAUAGUCUGCUGCUCCCGGAUUGUCCUCAUUACAUUGAACGAAUGACAACGACGCUCUGUCCGUUUCUGGCUCUCUGCUUUUCUCUUUCACAUCACGAGACACCUUGUUUCUAACUGGGGUGCCACCAUCAUAUUUAACUGUUAUUGGUAACUCAAUAGCUAAUUCCAAUGUUUCAUCAAGCAGUUUAGAGAUAACCUCUCUCGCUGAACUCCCUGGAGUAACACAAUCCAGUUUUCCAGUGCAAUCAUCAAACAGUUGAACAGCCUCUGAAUUCCCUUUGCUUAUCUUGUUUUCUUUUCCAUGUAAAGGGAGCUCAGGCUUCAAUAUAUCUGGGGAUUGAUUACUAAUGAUAAAGACAACAUACGGUAGAGGACACAAAUUGUUAUUAAAGAAUGAUGCACUUUUCAACUGAGUACAGUAAAGCAAGAAUGGGUAAUUAGUUUUACCUGCUAAGUGAAAAUCUAGACUCCCGAAGGUAACCGAUCUUUGGUGAAGCAAAUAAAGAAGAAGGCGAAGUAAAAUUCACUGAGUUGAAUGAGCGAUCAUUGCGUAUGGACUUGAUUUGUUCAAUGGGUGAAAGACUGCUGAUAUAAUUAAAGACUGGAGAAUCCUGCAUGUUGACAAGCAUCAUUUUUAAUCAGCAUAGAGUCUUAAAAUCCUAGUCAGUGGCAAAUGAUCAUGACAAGAAAUCUGAAGUAGAAACAGCAGAGCUCAACAAAUCACUAAGAGAAAAUAAGACCAAUAACCAAGCAGAUACAAGAAAAGCAAAAUAACCCAUCUCAAAUCACCACAUGCACAAUUUAAGGGGGUUGUGACUUGGUUUUAAGCAUGAUUUAACAAGUGCCACCAGUGAAUUCUCAGAUUGAAUUUUCAUACACAUGUCAAAUUUUCAAGUCCAACGAAUUGUUAUCUUUCUGAAGGUAUUAACUAUGCAUGGCAUGCUAUAAACAAAUCAUAUUAUUAGGGCCUUUGUUUGCUGUACACAACAUAUGUACAGAGGAACAAAUCCAUGAGCUGAAAUCAUCAUAUUCCAAAAUAUUCUACCCAAUCAACACUACAAAACCCUAACGCUAAACAGAAUUGGAGCAAUUUACGAAAGCUAUUUGUCACACAAAGCACUAGUACCUCCGAGCCCAAUUUGCAAAAAAGCAACAAAAAUGAAAAAUAACAAAUGCCCAGAUGCAAAAUCAGGAAAAAAUGCUCAAAUCCAAACUAUAAGCUGAGAUUGACCUCAAACUUGGAAACAGAAGCGACAGUGAUCUGUUUCUUGUCUGGAGUGUCCAUUUCUAUAAUCUACUUUGUCCGUUUUCAGUCGCUCCGCCACAAAGCCUCUUCACUCUGAAGCUGAAACUCGCCACACACUUGCAAAACGAAAGCAUUUGAUUGAUUGAGAAGCGGGAAGGCGGGAAAACGAGAGAAAUUUGCUUUUGUUUUUUCUUCGUUUGGUCCUACAUGUGCGGGCCCCAGGUUGACAAGCGUUAUUAUUACUAUUUGCAUUAUUUGAAGGACGCGUGUCAUGCAACGACGAUAGAAAAAGUGGUGCAAAACUCCAAUGGUCACGAAAUGACGAUAAAAUAAAAAUAUAUCGUUAAUUUUUCACUUAACAUUCGAAUAUCAUAUAAUUUUAUGGUCAUUUUCUCGCCGUUACGCCACAUUCUUUUGAUAAAAUAAUACGGUAAAACUUUUCUAUAAUCAUGAUAUUAGAACCCAAUUAACUUUAUUUCGAUAAAGAGGUUAUAGCUUAAUAAAUGUUAAAUUAUAAAAAAUAUUAUUUUGACUUAAUUAUCUAAAGAGUAAAUAUAUGAUAAGUAAUUAAUAAAUUAUGUCAAAUACAAUAUAUGGACUAUGAUAAAAAAGAUAGACAUAAUUUCAUAAAAUUAAUACAUAUGUUUUUGUAGUGCUACGAUUAUACAAAGUUUAUCUUAAAAAUGUAAAGAGUAAAGUAUUGUUCUAAUUAAUUUAAAAAAAUAUUUUAUUAUUAACCUUUAAUGCAACAUAGUAAUUUUUUUUCCCUGGCAACAAAGUAUUCCAAAUAAUUAUUAUUGGAUCUAGAUCCUGCCCUAGGCAUUUUCUCUACUAAUCCUCAUAAACUUUUAGGGUAUGUUUGACAAGUAAGAUUAGAUUGGACAAACUAUUAUAAUUGGACUAAAUUAGAAGGGAUUAGAUUGGAUUAUAUAUAGUGCUGACUUAUGUUUGGUAUUGUAUUGGAUUAGAUUAUGUUAAAUUAAAUUUACAUGAAAUUAAAUAGUAUUUACAUUAAUAUUUGAAUUUAAAUAUCAACUAUUUAUAGAUAUUUAACAAGAAAUAUUAUAAUUAAUUAAAAAUAGCAAUUGGGUAGUCAUAAUUAUAAUAAAGAAAUAUAAAUUAUUUAAAUUAUAGGUUAUUUCAAAGAGUGAUGAUACAACCACAAAUUUUUGUACAAACUUAUCUUAUACAAACUGAUUAUAGGUUAUUUCAAAGAGUGAUGAUACAACCACAAAUUCUUGUACAAACUGAUUUGGCAUUAAUUCAUUUAUUGAAUGAAAAUAUAAAAUAAUAAAAAUAAAUCAUGUGGGCCCAAGAUAUAUUUAAUUCAACCAAUUUUAUCAUACCACAUAUACAAGAAUUUGUGACUAUAUUAUUACUCUAUUUCAAAUAAGAGAUAUCAUUUCAUUGAAUAAAAUAAAUAAAAUUAUUCAAAUAAUAAAUUAAUUAAUAAAAUUUAAGUAAAUCAUGAAUAAAAAAGAAAUUAAUUAAUUAAAAACAGUAAAUAAUUAAAUAAUUUUUAAUUUAUAAAUAAAAUGGUAUAAUAAAUUAUGGAAGAUACUAUAAAUACACAAAUAUUUUUUUCACAUUAUCUAGUUCUAACUAAACACACAUAAAAAUUAGGAUUAGCAAUCCCAUGAAUUUAGGAUUAAAAUUUGAAUUUAGUCCAUUAAUCCAAUACAAGUGAGCAUGCCAAAUAUGGUAUUAAUAUUUUAUCCCAAUAAUAAGUCCAAUUCUACACUUAAUCCUACCUCCCAAAUAUAACCUUAAGGAUCUAUUGACAUGUGUCAUUAAUGAAAUUAAAUGGCUAAGAUUUUGUUUUAAUUAAUUUUUACCUAAAUAGACAUCAAAACUCAUGUGUGACUCUUGUUAAAUUUUUUCUUACAAAUUCUUUUCCUCUUAAUUCUUUAUAUUUUGACACUGAUUUCCAGCAAAUUAUUAAAAAAAAGGAGCACAAAUUAGAAAAAAGUGAUUGACAACAAGGUUUGCAUCUUAAUUUCAAAAUUUUCCUUUCUUUGAUGUUUUUGUGGGUUCUAUAAUUGUUGUUUUCACUCUAAGUUGCAAUUCAAUGAACUAAAUUAGUGUUGCUACUUUAUAAACUGCUAUUACUGGGCAUAUAAUUCUAUUGCUACAAUUUUACUGCUAUUUAGCUAUUUUUUUGAGUUUAUUGUUUCUGUUCUAUUCUCUUUUUGGGUUUGCAACUGCUGUUUGUUGUUUUUUUAGGUUCUAUAGUUGAUGUUUUGGGAAAAAUAAAAAUAAAUGUGAUCUUGAAUUCUUUAACUACUAUGAAACAAUUAAAUUAUUUAGCUGCUGCAUUUUCUGCUGUAUUAUUAUAGGCGAGAUGUGUGUCGAAAGGGAAAGAAUUUGCCUGAAAAAAAAAAUUGACAAGAGUCACAUGUGAGUUUAGAUGUCUUUUUUAAGUAAAAAUUAAUUAAAAUUAAAUAUUAACCAUUAAUAACACAUGUCAAUAAAUUUUUCAAAGUCUAAGAGGAUCCGAUCUAUUAUUUACUCUAUAAAAGGAAGUUCCUUGAAGACAAGAACUAUAAAUAAAUUAAUAUAAUGAAUUUAUUCUUAACCUAGUCUAAAUUGAGACUAAAAUUUUUUACUUAAAAAUUUACUAGCUAGCUUUACCUUGAUGGGCCAGCUAUGGCCCAAACACAUUUCUCCAAAUUUAUUAAUAUUUUUGUGCAUAACAAUUAGGGAUACGUGGCAAUAAAUUAUCCUUUUAACAUAUAAAAAGUAUACUCACUAGUGUGCCCCUCCAAAGGGCACAGACAGACUUUUAGCCUCUUUCUUCGGUUUACCACUCCAAUUGAAAUCUUCAAUAAGAUUAAACAUUGAAUAUAUCUAAAAUAUUAGCAAUAUUUGUACUUAUAUUUAACAAAACUAGAGUAAUAUAUUGAUUAAUCUACAUAAUUUUGGGCGGGUUCUUAUGUAAUGUUACAAUUAACAUAGAUUAUUUUCACGGUAUAAGGCAAAUCUUGAGAAUGAACCCAUUUCAAUAUGGUUUCCACAAUAAAUGAACCCACUUUACUACCAAUGAAAGGACUCAUAUAUAUCCACCUGGAAAGAAGGGGUGGGGGGAGGAAGGAGAAAUCUUCUAAUUUCUUUCACCAUCAACAAAAUCAGUGAAACACAUACUAAUUCAAAAUAAAAUAAACUUUGUGAAUUGAAAUAAUGCCUGCUCUAAAGAAAAUGAUAACUGCUAUUCAUUUUUCUGAACUGCUGAUAAAAGCUUCUGCUAUUUACUUCGAAAAAAUUGAGUAACUUCAAAUUUUGAGUUUAGGCAAGAGGAUGAAUGGUAAAAGUGAGACAUUUUAGGGGAAAAGAAAAUACUUGAGAGGCCAAUGAAACAUUCAAAAGAUUGAAAUCUAAAUGAGCAAAACCUCAUGGUCUUGAUCUAACAAUUCUCCUGCUGUUGACAUGCCGGCAAGGCCAGCUCCAAUAAUAGCCACUUUCAGCCUUGGUCCUGUAUAAUCUUCCGGUUCUGGUGGAAACAAACACUUGGGAGCUGCCAAGUAUACCAUUCAAUUAUCCACAGCGAUAUUGGAAAAACAUACAUGUUUGAAAGUACUAAACAUCAAAUGUCUC